GACAGAGGGUGCUAGCGUUGUUCGGAAUUACUGGGCGUAAAGGGCGCGUAGGCGGUCCGCUAAGUUCGGCGUGAAAUCCCCUGGCUCAACUGGGGAACUGCGCUGGAUACUGGUGGACUUGAGUACCGGGAGAGGAGAGUGGAAUUCCUGGUGUAGCGGUGAAAUGCGUAGAUAUCAAGGAGGAACACCGGUGGCGAAGGCGGCUCUCGUGGACGGAUACUGACG
rnacentral:rRNA from 1 species